rnacentral:rRNA from 1 species
GAUGAACGCUAGCGGCAGGCCUAAUACAUGCAAGUCGAACGAUAGAAGAGGGCUUGCUCUCUUCGAAAGUGGCGCACGGGUGCGUAACGCGUAUGCAACCUACCUUAAUCAGGGGGAUAGCCCGAAGAAAUUCGGAUUAACACCGCAUAAAAUCACAGUACAGCAUUGUACAAUGAUCAAAUAUUUAUAGGAUUAAGAUGGGCAUGCGUGACAUUAGCUAGUUGGCGGGGUAACGGCCCACCAAGGCGACGAUGUCUAGGGAUCUGAGAGGAUGACCCCCCACACUGGUACUGAGACACGGACCAGACUCCUACGGGAGGCAGCAGUAAGGAAUAUUGGUCAAUGGAGGCAACUCUGAACCAGCCAUGCCGCGUGCAGGAAGACGGCCCUCUGGGUUGUAAACUGCUUUUAUUCGGGAAUAAACCUCAUUAUGUAUAGUGAGCUGAAUGUACCGAAGGAAUAAGGAUCGGCUAACUCCGUGCCAGCAGCCGCCGUAA